rnacentral:rRNA from 1 species
UGCCCGGCUGGAUUCUAGGAGCAUUAUCUUGAAAUCCAACGGACUUGGCGGGGCUUUAUACCCCCCUACAGGAGCCUGUUCUAUAACCGAUUAUCCGCGUUAAACCUCACCUUUCGUUGUUUAUCCCGCCUAUAUACCGCCGUCGGAAGCUAACCCUGUGAAGGAUUAGUAGUUAGCACAAUUGGCAAGACCAAAAACGUCAGGUCGAGGUGUAGCGGAUGGAGAGGGAAGAAAUGGGCUACAUUCUCUUCAAUAGAGCACACGAAUGAUGACCUGAAAACUCAUCUGAAGGAGGAUUUAGCAGUAA